rnacentral:rRNA from 1 species
UAAUUGAAGAGUUUGAUCAUGGCUCAGAUUGAACGCUGGCGGCAGGCCUAACACAUGCAAGUCGAGCGGUAACAGGGGAAGCUU